UAAUGUGCAGGCAUUUAAUGGGAAGUCUGUGAUCAGUGAUAUGCCUACUGCACUCCCUGAACUACUAGAUUCUAUGGGGAUAUUCUGGACGUGAUAUUUAGUAAUCAUAUACUGCAAAUGGAAUCUAAUUAAUUGGACGUGCUCACGGAGGGUGUGACCGGUCGACAGGGGAUGCUUACUCUAAGUCACCUGAUCCUGCCUCUGGUGUUUCAAUAGGUUCAAAGACAGUUCAAAAGCAGCAGAGAAUGCAUGAAGACAAGCCCAAACGUCAAUGGGGUUGAUUUGUAGAUUGGAUUUGUUUAUCUUUGGAUUUCGGCUGAUAUACGCAACGGAAAAAUAAGAAAAAAUCAAUGUCUGGAUCAGGAGGGGCUGUAGAAACAGACAGGAAGCUCAGUAUGGUGUUCGAUUCCCUGUUGGAACUAGAACAUGAAAAACAACAAAGCUCUAUUCUGGACAAGUCUUUCUUCGGAACAGUUUCUCCCAGAGGGGAAGAUAAUGGACGAAAAGAGAUCAUUCUCUCAAUUACAAGAGAAAGCCUUCCUCCAGGAUCAGAGUUAUUACAAAAAGUGAUGCGAGAGAUUCAGUAUCGUUCACAGGAAUAAUCAGAACGACGCAUUACCCCCAAUUAUGACAUUCAUUGAGCGACCUUCCUCUUUGCCAAAGUUCAAAAAGAAUUUAGUUAAAGAGAGUUUGAAUCUUUGAGGAUUUAAUCAGCAUUGAAAGGAUCGUCUCUUUAUUUUAAGAGUCUACUGUAGAUAAUUAGAUCUCUGUGAAUAGUUCAGGGGAGUUAAGAUUUUCCAGCCACGUUAAAGAUUCAUCUGCGCGCGUUUGUGACAAUGUAUAGCUUUAUAUCAUUAAGUGCGGUGUAAAACAAGUGCUGAUAUAAGGAUACCAGUAGCAGAGACAGAGAACUAUUGAUCAUAUUGUACUUACUGAUUUACAAAUUUAUUAUGUUGUAUGACUGCGUAAUG